rnacentral:misc_RNA from 1 species
CGAGGCUAGUGGUAGUUUCACAAAAUAUAAUCGAAAGUAAUUCAAAAUAUUACCCAAUUCAAAGUAUGUAGGUAGCUGAUAUUCAGAACGAAUGCGCCAAGCGUACCGCACAAGUGAGAUAGCAAACAACAGAGAAAGAUACGUACGGUAGACCAGUAUAGAGCGGCACGGACAGCUACAAUUGAGAAUACUAUUUUUCAUUAAAACAAACACUACGUAAAUUUCGAAAAUAAGCGCUCACUAAAAAAAGGUAAGUUGUAAAAUAAGGCUUUAUAAUAUUAUAACGAAUCAUGGAACCUUGCGAAAACCGAUUACAAGAGAAAGUACAAGAAGGAGAAUAUGGAUUUUUUUGGCAAGAUUAUCUUGAUGCUACAAAUAGUGUUGAAGUACCACAAAUUAUGUUUCCACAUGUUGAAUUGACACUUCAAAGUGGUAUUGAAAUUGGUAUGUCUCUUGAAGUGCCAAUUCCAAAAAAAGAAAAUGAAGAAAAUAUUAACUAUUGGAUAGCUUCUAUUGUAAUGGCAUGUGGACCUUUAUUAAGAUUACGUUAUUUUGGUGGAGAUGAUAGGUCAUUAGAAUUUUGGUUCAACCUCACUAAAGAAGCUGCUCAUGAACUUGGAUGGUGUGUAAAAAAUAAUAAAAAAUUAGAACCACCUGAUAUUAUUCGUCAAAGAUCAUCAGACUGUAUAGAAAAAUUAUCUGAAUUUUUAAAAACAGCCCGGAGUAUUCCAUCAGAAAUGUUAUCAGGAGAUGGUUUAAGCAUGACAGAGAGAAUUAAGCAAGGCAUGAAAGUUGAAGUUAGUGAUAUAUUACAUCCAUAUAAAUUAUGGGUAGCCACAAUCAUAGAAAAUGUAGGAGGACGACUUUUGUUAAGAUAUGAUACUCCUGGUUCUUCACGUAAAGAUUUUUGGAUGUUUUGUACAUCAGAACAUUUGCAUCCCUAUGGGUUUACAUCUAAAUCUGAUUCUACCUGGUUUUUAGAACCACCUAGUUCUAUAGUAGAAACACAUACAUAUGAAGAAUGGAAAGAUUUAUUAGAAUCUACACCAAAAAAUUAUGAUCUUCCUGAAGAAUUAUUUCAUAAUACUAUAAAUCAUUCUAAACAUGAAUUUAAAAUUGGCAUGAAAUUAGAAGCAUUAAGUCCAAUUGAUCAGAUAAAAAUAUGUCCAGCCACUGUUAUAAAAAUAUUUGAUGAUAUUUAUUUUCUUGUACAUAUUGAUACAUAUGAUGAAUUAUCUAAGGGAAUGGAUAUUGAAACAUGUAUGUAUAAUAGUACAGAGAAAAAUACUUGGCUUUGUACAGUAGGACAUCCAUAUAUAUUUCCAAUUGGGUGGGCAAAAAAGCAUAAUAUCAAAAUUGUACAUCCAAAUGGUUGGACUCCAAAAGAAGAUGAAUUUGAUUGGGACGAAUAUUUAAAAGAUACUCAAGCAAUUGCUGCAGAAGAAAAAUUGUUUUCAGAAAGACAAAGUGCCAUAGAUGUUGGUUUUGAAUGUGGCAUGCGAUUAGAAGCAGUUGAUCCAGAACGUGAAAAUGUGAUAUGUGCUGCACAUAUUACAAAAAUUGUUGACAAUCUUUUAUGGUUAAAAUUAGAUAAUUAUGAAAAUACAAGACCAGAACAUAUUGUUGAUAUGUAUUCUUUACAAAUAUUUCCUGUUGGAUGGUGUGAAUCCAAUCAUUAUCCAUUAAAACCACCAAAAGAUUAUAUGGAAAUUUGUAAACAGUUACAAAUGCCUUUAAAAGAAGAAAAGAAAACUAAUGUUCUAGAUAUACCAAUAUCUGAACCACGUUCUUCGCUAUGGUGCCCAAAAAUAUAUUUUAAUUAUCGUUGUUUUACGGGUCCCAUGAUUUCUAAAGGAAAAUUAGCAACUUUACCAAAAGCAGUAGGACCUGGUCCUGUAAUUUUAGUUAUGAGAGAAGUUUUAUCAAUGAUCGUAUCUGUAGGAUAUAGAAGCGCACGGAUAUUAAAGGUACUUCAAUGUGAUUCAAAACCAGAUCCAGGAUAUCAUUUAGAAGUUUUAAAAGCCAAACAUAAAAACAAUACAUAUCGUGCGAGCGUCGCUGUAGUUACAUCCGGAGAUAUGGUAGCUGAUUUUUGUAGAAAUAUCUGUAAAAAAUUAAUGGUAUGUCCAAAUUUAUUUGGUCCCUUAUAUGUACCUGAGAAUGAAUGUCCUGAUAAAUGUCAUAAAACAUCAAAAGCUAAAUUCACAUCUGUAGGUACUGGACGAAGAGGUAAACCAAAAGGAUACACAAGUAUUAUGGUGCAAAAACCAAAACCAUGGGGUGGCAGACGAAAAAGAAGACGUGGAAGAUGGGCAAAUAGAGAAAAAGAGACUCAUGAAGAUUUCGAGCAAGAAGAUGAAAUGCCAUUUAUGUCAUUAGAUUUAGCAAAACAUGUAUCAGGGAUUGAAGAAACACUCGAUGGAAGACCACCACUUUCUGAAAUAGAUAUUAUGAUUCAGAAAGGUUUAGAGAAAGGAAAACAAAAGAUGGAGGAAGUCCUAAUAGUUUAAAUAGUAAACAACAUUCAUCGAAAUUUAGUCAAAGUUCUACUGUUACAAGAGCAAGUAAAAGGGAACGAGAUUGGGAUACGAGUAUUGAAUCUGAUGGAACAGAUGGAGAAUCAGAAUAUGUGAGAAUGCAAAAAAAACAAAGGCGACCAAAAACGCGGAAACUUGAUUCGAAUCCACUAUUUUGGAGCGUGGAUGAUGUUUUUAGGUAUUUAAGAAAAACAAAUGAUUGCAAAGAUAUCGCAUAUCGAGUAAAACAAGAGGAAAUUGACGGAUUAGCAUUUUUACUAUUAAAUUUACCAUCUCUUACGCAACAUAUGAAAUUGCGAACAAGUUUAGCUAUGAAACUUUGUCGUCACGUUGAACAAGUUAAAGUCACGUUCUUUUUACGACAUAUAAAUGAAGUAGAACCAGAACAAUAUCAAAUUGUAUAAUUUCAAUAAUUAAGGAUGCAAUUUAUUAUAUUAUUUAUAUAGUGUAAUAUAGUGUAUCAUGAAAAGACAAAUAAUGUCGAGAUAUCUAUUGUAUAAAUGACAAAAUGAUUUUUAAUUUAUAUGAAUAUGCAAGACUGUAUUACUUUUAAAUAGAUAUACAAUGUAUUUAAUUACGUCUUUGUACAUUUAAAUUAUUUUUGUUAUAACAUAUUUUUUAAUGGAAAAUUAAAUUUUAUUGAUUAAA